GCAUAAAUCAAAUACACAAUACAUGGGUGAGUUAUGUUUUUUACAUAGAAAACCAAAAAUACAGGCUUUCUGCACCAUUCUGGUAUUCAUCCAUGUAUCCAAGCUUCAAUGAACUCCUCUGUGUCGUCUCUGCUGAAUCUGUCACUUCUUUUCAUCUCCUUCAUUUUCUUUUUGUUCAAUUUUCUCUUCCACUCAGAUCUGAAAAAAAAUUAGAUUAUCCAAAUAUGGGUAUGAAAUCACAAACAAACUUAAUUAAAUACAUCCCACAAUUGUCGAUCUGGAUGUUUUUUGGAAUGUAUUUGUCUUUUCUCCUCGGAAUGCACACUUCUUAUAGCUAGGUUUUCGGAGAUUGGCGGAAAGUAACUCAGUCACAACUGCAUAUAUAAACCAAACUGCAUAUAUAAACCAGCCGUAAAAGAAAAGUAAUUCAGCCACAACAUAAAUUAAAACUCAGCCACAAACUCGAAAAACGCAGCAGAGAAGAUGAUUUCGGGCGAUUACAGCGAAAAAUAUUUCGUAAAAACGAUUGGAGACGACGAUUUCGGGGAAGAUGAUAUUAGAGAAGACAAGACAGAGAGUUAGUUCGAGGAAGACGGAGUAAACACAAUGUCGAUGACGAUUUCAGGGAAGAGGCGGUUAGGGUUCCUUUAGUUCUUUGACGAAGUUGUGCUGUGUUGUUGUGUUUUUUUAUAACGUUAUGUAAUUAAAGGGAUGAUUGAUUGUUCUCUAUUACUGAUGUGGAUAUUUAAUUAGUGAUGUGGAUUUAUUGUUUAAAAAUAAUUUCAAUUAAAAAAAACUAAUCAAAUGCCCUUAUUGUCAUUUAUUAAGGGUAUCCAAACACUAUAGUAAUUUUUAAAAGAUGUAUAACACUCUAUUAAUAAACCAAUUUUUCUUAUACAUUCUAGUAAUUUUUUCUAUCUUAAAUGCAUAAAAAGUUUACAUAAAUAUCUUUAACCUAUCAAGAGAGAGAAACAGAAAUGAUUAAAACAAAUGAAAGCAGUAAACAUCAAUCACUGGCAAAGAGUGUUAAAGGAUCUAGCUAGUAGGAUAUGAAGCAUCCGAAGUCCCCCAAAGAAUAAGAGGAUUAACUUAGCCUAAAACCUAAUCACAUUAUACAGCUUAAAUUCCCACUAACUAAAUAAUGGUCAUCAACACAUUAUAUUAAUCCCUACAUGUGAUCCGAGAACAUUCUAACACAGAAGCUAGUUAUAUAUUUUCAACAAACAAAAAAGGUCGUUAAGAAACAAAAAGUCUCUGUAACGACCCGGUUUCUCUAAACCAGAUUUAGAAAUUUGUUUGGUUAAUUAUUCUCUAAACCAAACCAUUUGAAAUAAACCAAAGAGAUAUAUAAGUCGUAUACAUCUCCAUCUUUGACGAAACCUAGCCGCACACCUCCAAUUAAACCAUUGUUCACCUCCAAAAAUCUGAUGCACCGCGAUGCCACCACCGGCUCUCCCCGUUGUCUUGGAGCUAUCACGCCAUGUCAGAGAGAGAGAGCCUCGUCAUCACUGGUCAAACGUCUCACGUGUUGUUGUCUCGCAUCGAACUCGAGAGAUGUAUAUAUGACGUGAGGAGGAGGCGCACAAAGACGGAGCCACCGUCUCACCACCGCCGCACCGAUCAGAUCCACACUGUUGUUAGUCGCAAGCCAUUGGAGGAGGCAGUCAUGUCUCCAGAGAGUCGUGAUAGCCAGAGAUCGUACCAGCCACCGUCAUCAACCGUUAUCUAGCUAAGUGUUGCCUCCUUUGUUACUUGUGCCACAAGUAACGUAUAUACCACAAACCUUAAACGUGUCUUUGCAUGUGUUUAGGUGUAGUGAAUCUUAUGCCAACCUGGAGUUAGUUGCCCAUCAUUUUAAAAUAAGGCGUACAAAGAUUUAUGGAACAAGUUUCGCUCGACACCAUGAUUAGGUUGGAAUCUUUUAAAGUGAUGUUAGGCGAGAUCGUUCCCGAGCUUUUGAUGAGCUAUAUCCAAUAUUUGCUAAGGUGAGACAGAUGAGUAUAUGAUAUUUGGACGGAUUUGGUGCUACUGGACUUUUUAUUCGGAUUUUUAUUUGGGCUUUGGGUGAGUGUAAUUGGGUAUAUGGGCUUUAAUUAUACGAGAUAUUGUUGGUGGCCCGCUGUUCUCCGGAUUGGAGGUGACGGGUGUCAGUCUCCGUAAGAAUAAAACCGGAUUGUAACUCAACAAGGAAUCAUUAGUUUUAACACAAAAGCAACUAGUUUUAAA